AGUCAGGAUUCUUUCCUCCCAGUAUCGCUGUUCUAAACAAUAAACAAGUUAGACCAGUCAUGUGUAGUGCCAGGUGCAAUCGCAUACCCAAAAAGUUUUAGGGCACGUUCAGCGAUCUGAUACGCGUGCCUCUUCUGCAGCGGAAUAUAAACCAAAGGACAAUCAUGAAGCCCUUGGCAUUGCUGACACUUCUGCUCAUCACGAGUGGUUCUGCAGUGGGGCAAAUGUUGAAAUCUAAUGUGACUGGCUAUGUUGGAAAGGAUGUACUUUUAUCAUUUAACUGUUCUAAAGACCCUAAAGAGCUGAUAUGGCAGAAAGGUGAGAGAUUAGUGAAUGUUCAUUCACAAGACAAAAUCACCAUAGAUGAUUCCUACGUGGACAGGACACAACUCUUCAUAAACAUGGAGAAGAGAAACUGUUCCCUACUGCUCCGCAACAUCUCUACAGCAGAUGCAGGACUGUACACCUGUUAUGCCAUAGACACUGUUGAUAACAAGGUCUGGACAAAGGAGUCUACAGAAGUUAAUUUAACAGUGGAGAUCAACCCUGAAAAAAGCGUCCAAACUGAAGAAGAAUCUGACACAGCUGUCCCUGUUAGUGUUCCCAUAGCGGUAGUACUGCUUAUACUGGCUGUUAUCCUGCUUCUAAUCCUACUGAUCAGAAGACAACAUCGGACACGCACGGACACUGAUUUACCGGCUGAGAAACCUAUGCUACAGAAUGUGUGAAGUGCUCUUGCUUGACAGUUUAAUGGACUUACUUCUAUGUUGUAAUGCAAGGUCCUUCACAACAACAACAAUGGACAAUAAGAGGCCUUAGCCCUAAACAAAUGCGUUCGCAUGUGGGCAUUACACAAUGGUGCGUGCUGAUCCGUCUCACUUUGAGACAGAUUAAUGUUCAGUUUUCAGUUGUAACACUGUUACUUGUUUACCACUGAAUUGUGAAUACACUGCGGAUAUACAUUCAGUAGGCAUUACAGUUUUGUAAUUUGACAAGAUUCUCCUUGUAGGAACUGUCUUUAUUCAUUCUUUGAAGAACAGAUGUGAGGGGUAGGGGACAUGCAGUUUGUAUUUUGCCUUUUCCUCUCUCUUUGAGACAAACUGGUGGUCUCAAUCCUAAACAAGCUUUCCAAAUAAUUUUAUUUUAUUGUUCAUAUGUGUACAGCAAUCAUUUACUAAGCACUCAUCAUGCAAGCUUCUUUACAUUUACUCUUGAAUUGGUUGUUUUACUCAGCCUGUGCUGAUUUCAUUUAUGUGGAAGAAAUAAUAUGGCACUCCCUAUGGGAUAUAUUUGCUUUUUUUACUGUACUAAAUUUCAUUUACUUUUAAAUGAAUUCUGUAAAGUGCUUCAAACCUGUCAAGGCAAUAAACCUUUU
ensembl:lncRNA